CGGCCGGCCGGUUCGCCUCACAGUCUGUGCUCGCCUCCGUUUGAACGCGUUCGCUUGCAACAUCGGUAUGCCGUAGACCGAACUUUUUCGUAGAUAUUAUUUUCCCGCCUAAAUUUUGUUUCGUAAUUUAAAACAAUCUUUUUAAACAAAUAGGUAGUUUUAUUUAUUGUGUGCCAGCGUCAUUGACGGUCCAGUGUGUUUGUGUGUGAAUUAGUGUGUUUACAUGUGUUGUGUUUGUGCGCUUUUUUGGAAAUUUAUUUUUGAGGCACAGGAAACUUAUGGGCAAGUUUUUCUAAUUGGAAUUAUUUGGUACCUACUGUGACAUUGGGCUCUUCAGGAUGUGGAUUUCGAUUUAAUUAUUUUUAAUACACCACGAUCCAAUGAGCGCGCGAACGCGCCCGUGACUUCCGUUUCCGGCGGCGCGCCCGCAGCAUCCGUGACCAUCAGACCAGGACACAUGUCAAUAAUGUUAAGUCAAACAACGUUGCUGAAAUGGGACCAAGCAUUUGAAUUUGAAGUACACCAAAUGCGGGCCUUAUAACAAAGAGAUACACAAUUUAAAAGUUUGCACAUCUGGUCUUCCUGUGAUGGACAUGAAAUGACCUUCUAAAUUAUAAAUUGAAAAAAAAACAAGGGAUAGUAGCAGCAGGGGAAGAGUAGCAUUCACUGCAGGUGGACAAGUGGUAUCGGAAACGGAAGCUGCUCCCAACGCGGUUGCGCGGGCGCAGCAGAGACGACACGCAGCCGACCCACCGACCAGAACUGAACUACUAGUUCCGGUCACACAUUGAUUAUAGGACAACUUAACGACAGUGUGUCUACGACGUCUACGUGUAUUGGAAUGGAUGUAUCGAUGUGUCGCAGCAUCAGCCGAAUCGAAGUUAGGCAUGAAUGGCGGCGCCCCGCUGCUUGUGAGUUAUGUAGCGGGCCCCCGGGGCGCGCCGCUGCCUUCACACCUCCGCCCGCGUGUGGUCCCGCGGUUUACGAGCCGGCCCCGGCUGCUGCGCGCGCGCACUGCUCGCACUAUGCAAAAGUAUCUCUAAAUCGUUGGUGGCAACGUCGUCGACGCGUGCCCGGAAGCGUCACGGCCGCGUGAAGACCGGAAAUGGGCAGGAUGACCGGAUCCUAUCUCCGUUGCCUACCUGCCGCCAUGUUGUGACGUCACCCCGCCUCCCGCACUAUCUGAUUGUGUAUUGUAGAUUUCCGAAUUGUCGAAAUGUAUUGCCUUUGUAUUUAAUAUAUUGGAAUGGAAUAUGAAAUUUUGAGGAAUUAUAAUAUUUACUCUUUCACUUAUUUUUAUUUACAUGUUAAUAACAA